rnacentral:hammerhead_ribozyme from 1 species
AUUCAGCUGACGAGUCCGAAAUAGGACGAAGUUUGUGUUCUGAAU